CGUCAAAUCAUCAUGCCCCUUAUGUCUAGGGCUACACACGUGCUACAAUGGUCGGUACAAUAAGACGCAAGCCCGCGAGGGGGAGCAAAACUGGAAAACCGAUCUCAGUUCGGAUUGUAGGCUGAAACUCGCCUACAUGAAGCUGGAGUUGCUAGUAAUCGCGAAUCAGCAUGUAGCGGUGAAUACGUUCCCGGGCCUUGUACACACCGCCCGUCACACCAUGAGAGUUGGCAAUACCCAAAGUACGUGAUCUAACCCGUAAGGGAGGAAGCGUCCUAAGGUAGGGUCAGAGAUUGGGGUG
rnacentral:rRNA from 1 species